rnacentral:rRNA from 1 species
GACGAAGGAUGCAAGCGUUAUCCGGAUUCAUUGGGUUUAAAGGGAGCGUAGGUGGCCUUAUAAGUCAGUGGUGAAAUCUCUGGGCUUAACCCAGAAAUUGCCAUUGAUACUGUAGGGCUUGAGUAAUAGUUGCCGGUUGGCGGAAUAUGACAUGUAGUGGUGAAAUACAUAGAGAUGUCAUAGAACACCGAUUGCGAAGGCAGCUAACGAAACUAAUAACUGACACUGAGGCUCGAAAGUGC